rnacentral:misc_RNA from 1 species
UAAUGUUGCAUCAGGUAGCAAA